CACGUAGGGCGCAAGCGUUGUCCGGAAUUAUUGGGCGUAAAGAGCUCGUAGGCGGCUCGUCACGUCGACUGUGAAAACCCGGGGCUCAACUCCGGGCCUGCAGUCGAUACGGGCUGGCUUGAGUGCGGUAGGGGAGACUGGAAUUCCUGGUGUAGCGGUGAAAUGCGCAGAUAUCAGGAGGAACACCGGUGGCGAAGGCGGGUCUCUGGGCCGUAACUGACGCUGAGGAGCGAAAGCGUGGGGAGCGAACAGG
rnacentral:rRNA from 1 species